CUCCUACUGGAGGCAGCAGUGAGGAAUAUUGGUCAAUGGACGAGAGUCUGAACCAGCCAAGUAGCGUGCAGGAAGACGGCCCUAUGGGUUGUAAACUGCUUUUAUAAGGGAAUAAAGUGAGUCUCGUGAGACUUUUUGCAUGUACCUUAUGAAUAAGGACCGGCUAAUUCCGUGCCAGCAGCCGCGGUAAUACGGAAGGUCCGGGCGUUAUCCGGAUUUAUUGGGUUUAAAGGGAGCGUAGGCCGGAGAUUAAGCGUGUUGUGAAAUGUAGACGCUCAACGUCUGCACUGCAGCGCGAACUGGUUUCCUUGAGUACGCACAAAGUGGGCGGAAUUCGUGGUGUAGCGGUGAAAUGCUUAGAUAUCACGAAGAACUCCGAUUGCGAAGGCAGCUCACUGGAGCGCAACUGACGCUGAAGCUCGAAAGUGCGGGUAUCGAACAGGAUUAGAUACCCUGGUAGUCCGCACGGUAAACGAUGGAUGCCCGCUGUUGGUCUGAACAGGUCAGCGGCCAAGCGAAAGCAUUAAGCAUCCCACCUGGGGAGUACGCCGGCAACGGUGAAACUCAAAGGAAUUGACGGGGGCCCGCACAAGCGGAGGAACAUGUGGCUUAAUUCGAUGAUACGCGAGGAACCUUACCCGGGCUUGAAUUGCAGAGGAAGGAUUUGGAGACAAUGACGCCCUUCGGGGCCUCUGUGAAGGUGCUGCAUGGUUGUCGUCAGCUCGUGCCGUGAGGUGUCGGCUUAAGUGCCAUAACGAGCGCAACCCCUACCGUUAGUUGCCAUCAGGUCAAGCUGGGCACUCUGGCGGGACUGCCGGUGUAAGCCGAGAGGAAGGUGGGGAUGACGUCAAAUCAGCACGGCCCUUACGUCCGGGGCUACACACGUGUUACAAUGGUAGGUACAGAGGGCAGCUACCCAGCGAUGGGAUGCGAAUCUCGAAAGCCUAUCUCAGUUCGGAUUGGAGGCUGAAACCCGCCUCCAUGAAGUUGGAUUCGCUAGUAAUCGCGCAUCAGCCAUGGCGCGGUGAAUACGUUCCCGGGCCUUGUACACACCGC
rnacentral:rRNA from 1 species